AUGCUCACUUCGGUAGCACAUAUACUAAAAUCGGAACCAUACCGAGAAGAUUAGCAUGCCCCUGUGCAAAGAUGACACACAAAUUCGUGAAGUAUUCAGUAUUUUU